GAUGAACGCUGGCGGCGUGCCUAAUACAUGCAAGUCGAGCGAACGGACGAGAAGCUUGCUCCUCUGAUGUUAGCGGCUGACGGGUGAGUAACACGUGGAUAACCUACCUAUAAGACUUGGAUAACUUCGGGAAACUGGAGCUAAUACCGGAUAAUAUUUUGAACCGCAUGGUUCAAAAGUGAAAGACGGUUUUGCUGUCACUUAUAGAUGGAUCCGCGCUGCAUUAGCUAGUUGGUAAGGUAACGGCUUACCAAGGCAACGAUGCAUAGCCGACCUGAGAGGGUGAUCGGCCACACUGGAACUGAGACACGGUCCAGACUCCUACGGGAGGCAGCAGUAGGGAAUCUUCCGCAAUGGGCGAAAGCCUGACGGAGCAACGCCGCGUGAGUGAUGAAGGUCUUCGGAUCGUAAAACUCUGUUAUUAGGGAAGAACAGAUGUGUAAGUAACUGUGCACAUCUUGACGGUACCUAAUCAGAAAGCCACGGCUAACUACGUG
rnacentral:rRNA from 1 species